rnacentral:rRNA from 1 species
UACGUAGGGCGCAAGCGUUAUCCGGAAUUAUUGGGCGUAAAGAGCUCGUAGGCGGUUUGUCGCGUCUGCCGUGAAAAAUCCAGGGCUCAACCCUGGACCUGCAUUCGAUACGGGCAGACUAGAGUUCGGUAGGGGAGACUGGAAUUCCUGGUGUAGCGGUGAAAUGCGCAGAUAUCAGGAGGAACACCGGUGGCGAAGGCGGGUCUCUGGGCCGAAACUGACGCUGAGGAGCGAAAGCGUGGGGAGCGAACAGG